GUGAACAACAUCAGAGUGCGGCAGUCAGAGAUCCUAAAGAAGGACUCCAUAUGUUUAGUCGAGACAGUACGCUGUACAUCUCUUACGACGAGGAUAUUUGUUUCAGGACCGCUUUCCCGAUACUGACAAGGACAUUUAAGCAAUUAUGUGAGCUGCAGUCUGGAUCCUGCUUCAGUCAGAUGACCUAACACAAAUGGAAAGAUGACAUCGACCCUUGCAAGGACUUCAGACGAUGCCAGCACUGGACUACAUACAGUGGUAAUCAUGGGUGCCCAAACUUGUGCAUGUCCCUGUACUGAUAUAUACUAUACAAAUAAUAUUUUCAGUAGUCCGUGUCAAAUUUUAUUUCAAGGUAAGAUAGCUUUACAUGUUUUUUAUUGUGCUUUAGUGAUCACACAGGCCCUGUUUAUGUUCUUAACCGGCAUGAGUUUAUUUAUUGUGAUAUACACAAAACAAGAUAUUUUGAUAAAUGAUGUUAAGUACACAGCUGCUCAUUUACUUCAAUAAAAUGUAUUUUUCAUAUUAUGGAAAUCAAUGGGUACCAUCAACUGUAUGAUUGACAUCAUUUAUCAGAUUAAAGAAUUUUUGGCAAGUUUAUAACAACAUGAAGGUGAGUAAAUUAUACAAUUAUAAUUUUUACGUAAACUUUUAGCUUUGAAGGAUUAUUUACUCAACCCCAUGUCAUCCAAGAUGU